UUUCAUAUCAGCAGUUUACAAAGGAAUACACAGUAAAUAUAGUUAAAUUGUUUUAACAGGUGGCCAGCAGGAAACUCAAGUAGGUUUAUUUGAAUUCUCUUCUCCCUUGGAAAAUGCUAAUAAGUUUGUCAGCAGACAGCAAAAGAGAAAGUCUACAGCCUGGCUUCGAGUGUCAAAGGUGAUCUCUAAAAUGAUAGAAGAAAACGAAUGCUUGAGAAAUAGAUUGAUGCCCUGUAGUCAACUUCCGCAAGAAGGCAAUGCUAUAAAUCAGAAUUCGCAAAGGGGAGAUUCCUGCAUUGACACAGAAGAAGCCAUUUUUGGAUGGGUGUAAUAUACAAAGCAAAAAGAAAAUGAGGGUUCUGUGUCAGAUUUUGUUACGUUGUUUCUAUUCUACUUUCUGUCCUAUAACCUGUUAUGACCAGACAAAAGAAACACGAUUGUUGACAUCGAGCUGCGUGCAGGUUAUAUGGAACAUAUUUCUUGUUUGUCUUUGUAGUGUAACAACUUAAUUGUAAUGCAUGUUUGAUUAAAAUGCAUCGUUGCAGAUAUUUUGUU